rnacentral:rRNA from 1 species
UACGAAUGGGGCAAGCGUUGUUCGGAAUCACUGGGCUUAAAGCGUGCGCAGGCGGACUAGCAAGUCAGAAGUGAAAUCCCAGGGCUUAACCCUGGAAUUGCUUUUGAAACUGCAAGUCUAGAAUCCCGGAGAGGUUAGUAGAAUUCCGAGUGUAGAGGUGAAAUUCGCAGAUAUUCGGAGGAAUACCAGUGGCGUAAGCGACUAACUGGACGGGCAUUGACGCUCAGGCACGAAAGCGUGGGGAGCAAACAGG